CUGGAGAUCUGGAACUUGGAAUGUACCUGAAUUCUAGACUCUUCAGCGUUGAUUUCCACAGCAAGUCUCUGUUUGGCAGUAUAGCCAGGGUAAGGGUUUUGGCUGAAUGCCUGGACGAGGAUCUUCAACUGCUCUUCUGUGAACGAGGUACGGCUGCGCCUACACUGUGUCGCCAUGGUCUCUGGGGAGAGAGAGACCAAUAAAUCGGAGGAGAGAAGCAUUAAAUGGGCCAUCGUCUCUUCAACAUGUGGCUUUCAGGGGAUGGAAAAUCCACGCUUCAGGUGACCUAGGUCAACUAUAUAUGAAGGAGACUGAGGGUAGAAGACGACUCGGGAGUGCAGUAAGGCAUGUGUGCAGUGCAUCAAGAUGGGACUUCUGGUUUCCUUUUCAAGGACCCUGAGUAUCCACUGUAGGGAUGUGGGUUC
ensembl:lncRNA